CUUUAUAGAAAUUGUAAAAUACAUGCAAAUUUUCAGAGGUGCCGGAGUCUUCUUUGUUUGAGUGGAGCAAACUUGUUUAAACCCACAGAAUCUUGUAGUAGCAGCGGCCAGGAAGUCGUCAAUGUAAUCUUGUCCUAUAAAAUUUUCAAAUAUAGAGAAGUUUGAUCUUUUUAAAAAAUAACCUCUACACUUUAUAGUAGUACUUUUGAACUGAGAGAGUUUUUGCUUUUUUACCUGCAAAGUUCGAAUGAGUAUUUGCUUCCCUGACUGUAGAGCGAAUUAUUGACAAAUUUGAGACAAACGGGAACUUGUUACGCAAGCGAAAUUACGACAGCAAGGACAGGAAUCAAGCAGAGUUUUGCGCAUGCAAAUCAUGCCAAGAUCACGGGUGUCGGCACUCGGCAGUCUUCCCUAAAAGCUCUGCCCGGCCGGCAAGGCAGCAGGUCGGCGGCUUCACAAGAAGAACGGUCGGGCGUUGGGGACGAAGACGAAGGGCGUGGCGAAGCAGGGCUCCACGCCGACCCACGCCGGCGGGCCUGCCAGCGCCGCCAUGUAGAUCGCGGCCAGCUUGCGGACGGCGCGCCGGAGCCAGCGCAGGCGGAGCCGCCGCAGGAGCCCGCGGCAACGGCCACGGCCACCGCUUGUGCUUACGCCGCCGCCGCCGAGCCGGGCGACCUGGAGCUUACGGCGCCGGCCGAGGCCGCGCCACCGCCACAGCACCCCCCGGCGCCCCGGCGUGAAGCUGCAUGCCGCGCCCUCCCCCAUUCCUCUUCUCGUGCCUCUUCUCCCUUUCUCCUCGUACGUCUCGGUGGCUAUGCCGCUAUGGUAUGGUAUGGCUUGCAGCCUCGUACGCCCGCCUUGGCGUAGAGUGCUUUAGGAGGAGUCAACUUUGGGAAGCGGCCAAAGCUCCAGGUACUGCUGGUGCUCUAGUUGGCGUCAUGCAAAGC
rnacentral:lncRNA from 1 species